rnacentral:tRNA from 1 species
GCCGGGGUGGCGAAAUGGCAGACGCAGAGGACUUAAAAUCCUCUGGAGCGAAAGUUCCGUGCGGGUUCGAGUCCCGCCCCCGGCA